CAGGCUUAACACAUGCAAGUCGAGGGGCAGCAUGGUCUUAGCUUGCUAAGGCCGAUGGCGACCGGCGCACGGGUGAGUAACACGUAUCCAACCUGCCGUCUACUCUUGGACAGCCUUCUGAAAGGAAGAUUAAUACAAGAUGGCAUCAUGAGUCCGCAUGUUCACAUGAUUAAAGGUAUUCCGGUAGACGAUGGGGAUGCGUUCCAUUAGAUAGUAGGCGGGGUAACGGCCCACCUAGUCUUCGAUGGAUAGGGGUUCUGAGAGGAAGGUCCCCCGCAUUGGAACUGAGACACGGUCCAAACUCCUACGGGAGGCAGCAGUGAGGAAUAUUGGUCAAUGGGCGAGAGCCUGAACCAGCCAAGUAGCGUGAAGGAUGACUGCCCUAUGGGUUGUAAACUUCUUUUAUAAAGGAAUAAAGUCGGGUAUGCAUACCCGUUUGCAUGUACUUUAUGAAUAAGGAUCGGCUAACUCCGUGCCAGCAGCCGCGGUAAUACGGAGGAUCCGAGCGUUAUCCGGAUUUAUUGGGUUUAAAGGGAGCGUAGAUGGAUGUUUAAGUCAGUUGUGAAAGUUUGCGGCUCAACCGUAAAAUUGCAGUUGAUGCUGGAUAUCUUGAGUGCAGUUGAGGGCAGGCGGAAUUCGUGGUGUAGCGGUGAAAUGCUUAGAUAUCACGAAGAACUCCGAUUGCGAAGGCAGCCUGCUAAGCUGCAACUGACAUUGAGGCUCGAAAGUGUGGGUAUCAAACAGGAUUAGAUACCCUGGUAGUCCACACGGUAAACGAUGAAUACUCGCUGUUUGCGAUAUACAGCAAGCGGCCAAGCGAAAGCGUUAAGUAUUCCACCUGGGGAGUACGCCGGCAACGGUGAAACUCAAAGGAAUUGACGGGGGCCCGCACAAGCGGAGGAACAUGUGGUUUAAUUCGAUGAUACGCGAGGAACCUUACCCGGGCUUAAAUUGCAGAUGAAUUACGGUGAAAGCCGUAAGCCGCAAGGCAUCUGUGAAGGUGCUGCAUGGUUGUCGUCAGCUCGUGCCGUGAGGUGUCGGCUUAAGUGCCAUAACGAGCGCAACCCUUGUUGUCAGUUACUAACAGGUUCCGCUGAGGACUCUGACAAGACUGCCAUCGUAAGAUGUGAGGAAGGUGGGGAUGACGUCAAAUCAGCACGGCCCUUACGUCCGGGGCUACACACGUGUUACAAUGGGGGGUACAGAGGGCCGCUACCACGCGAGUGGAUGCCAAUCCCAAAAACCUCUCUCAGUUCGGACUGGAGUCUGCAACCCGACUCCACGAAGCUGGAUUCGCUAGUAAUCGCGCAUCAGCCACGGCGCGGUGAAUACGUUCCCGGGCCUUGUACACACCGCCCGUCAAGCCAUGGGAGCCGGGGGUACCUGAAGUGCGUAACCGCGAGGAGCGCCCUAGGGUAAAACUGGUGACUGGGGCUAAGUCAUAACA
rnacentral:rRNA from 1 species